AAUGAGUUCAGGAACCUAAUAGUGUGGCUAGAAGACCAGAAAAUUCGUCAUUACAAGAUUGAGGACAGAACCGGUCUAAGGAACAUGAAUGGGGCUGACUGGUCAAAAGCUCUACAAAGUUAUCUGGAAGAACUUGGUUGUUCCUACCAGCAGGCUGAACGGACAAUUUUAAUAGACUGGUUGCUGGGCUAUGCGAUUCGUCUGGAUUAUGGAGAAUCUGUUGAUCAGUACAAGAGUGUAACACCAGACACUGUGAAGUCGAGUGCUGCUGCACCUGCUAAAUCUACAAACCCACUGGACAACUUGGACU